rnacentral:lncRNA from 1 species
UUGCUAAAUCAGUCCAGGUGCGGAUGUCAGAGCUCUCGAGCUGAUAAUACCAUUCCAACUGAGUGCCAGACAGACUUUCUUGGAAGAAAUGGAUCCACAGUUUCUUAUCAGUGGUAUGCGGCUGAAUCUUUCUCACAUAAGCCCUUAGAUGCAUCUGAGGACAGGAUGCACCAUCGUACUUAGUGAAAGUGGGGAUUUUGAAUUUGCGGGGAAUGGUCACAUCGGAGACCAGACC